rnacentral:rRNA from 1 species
UCGAGAAUCUUUCACAAUGGGGGCAACCCUGAUGGAGCGACGCCGCGUGGAGGAUAAGGUCUUCGGAUUGUAAACUCCUGUCAUGCGAGAGCAAGGCAUAGCAAUAUGCUUGAUAGUAUCGCAAGAGGAAGAGACGGCUAACUCUGUGCCAGCAGCCGCGGUAAUACAGAGGUCUCAAGCGUUGUUCGGAAUCACUGGGCGUAAAGGGUGCGUAGGCGGCGGAGAAAGUCAGAUGUGAAAUUUGAGGGCUCAACCCUCAAUGUGCAUCUGAUACUACUUUGCUAGAGAUCUGAAGAGGAGCUUGGAAUUCUCGGUGUAGCAGUGAAAUGCGUAGAUUUCGAGAAGAACGCUCGCAGCGAAAGCGAAGCUCUGGUCAGAUUCUGACGCUGAGGCACGAAGGCUAGGGGAGCGAACGGGAUUAGAUACCCCUGUAGUCC